AGACCCGAAACCCGGUGAUCUAGCCAUGGGCAGGUUGAAGGUUGGGUAACACUAACUGGAGGACCGAACCGACUAAUGUUGAAAAAUUAGCGGAUGACCUGUGGCUGGGGGUGAAAGGCCAAUCAAACCGGGAGAUAGCUGGUUCUCCCCGAAAGCUAUUUAGGUAGCGCCUCGUGAAUUCAUCUCCGGGGGUAGAGCACUGUUUCGGCUAGGGGGCCAUCCCGGCUUACCAACCCGAUGCAAACUGCGAAUACCGGAGAAUGUUAUCACGGGAGACACACGGCGGGUGCUAACGUCCGUCGUGAAGAGGGAAACAACCCAGACCGCCAGCUAAGGUCCCAAAGUCAUGGUUAAGUGGGAAACGAUGUGGGAAGGCCCAGACAGCCAGGAUGUUGGCUUAGAAGCAGCCAUCAUUUAAAGAAAGCGUAAUAGCUCACUGGUCGAGUCGGCCUGCGCGGAAGAUGUAACGGGGCUAAACCAUGCACCGAAGCUGCGGCAGCGACACUGUGUGUUGUUGGGUAGGGGAGCGUUCUGUAAGCCU
rnacentral:rRNA from 3 species